rnacentral:lncRNA from 1 species
UUGAUCAUAUUAACUUAGUGUUUUGUAGGUACAUUAUGUUUGUGGAGAUACUUUAGGAGCUAAAUGGAGUCUCAAAGACUAGAAAUGACUAAAGCAAGGCACAAGUGGCGCAGAAAUGAAGAAAAAUAAAGAAAUGAAAGUUCUCCCAAUCCUACUAGGAAAAUGAAUCCCAGUUGGAGUAGGAAUCAGAAACUGACUUGGACUCAAACUCUUAAGUCGCGGAAAUUUGGAGUUCUACUUGAAUCAAGAGUCCCAAUUCGAGUCAGAUAAGGAAACCUAGUGUCAGAAAGAGUCCCUGUUGAACAAGGAUUGCUCGAGAAGAUUCUGGAAACAUCUAGAAACAUUUCGUGGAAGAAGUCCUUAUUGGACUAGGAAACCUAUUGGCAUGUGGAGUCCUGAUGAUACUAAGAGACCUGUGGAAGCCAGGAGACGUCAAAGAAGGAUCAUGAAGCUCCUAGAAGAUGUCUAGACGUCAUGUGCAAAGAUUCUGGAUUGAACUCUGAUUGCUUUUGUCGUGAGAAUUGGAAGUUUCUAGAAGGUCAUGUGUCGUGCAACAUCUCAUGGAGUACAUAUUGAAUUUGGAUAUUGAAUAAAUGUUG